AUUGAAAUUUAAAAAUGAAUUUAAAAACCAUUCCAUAUGACAAUCAUUUACAAAUCUUUGUCAUCAAUAAAUUGGAGAAAAAAGGAAACGUAUUCAUAGCAGUGAAAUUUCAAUCUGUCAAAAAACUGAACCUAUAAUUAUUUUUGUCUCCAACAUUAAACAUUAAAGUUUGACCACAGGCGAAGCCUGAUUAUUUCAGGGUGGAGUAAUACCAAGUUGUCUGAGUCUUUUGGUGACAUGUUAAAUCAAGGAUCAGUAUGCUAGCUACAGUAGAUGUAGAGACCUUAUUAUAUUAUGUAACAGGAAACUAUAAAAUAAAUGAAAAUUCUUUCUUAUACUACAAGUCACAUUCUCAAUCUCAUCCAUGCUGGUAAAAAGGCACAUAGGGAUCUCAGAAUGAUUUUAUGCAUGUAAAAGCAAUCAGAAAUCACAAAAGUAGCAUUAACCAAGUCACAGCAGUGGAUCAUCUAUAUUAAGGGCAUUAUAUAGUUGUAAGCUUUUAUAGUAUUGGAAGUCUGGAAAGAGUGGAUAAACAAAAACAGCGUACAUAUACUUUUUCAGUUUUUAACACUGGACCAAAGACUGGCAAAAGGGCUAAACCUGCUUCGUUCUCAUAAGUGUAUUUUCUUGCCCAUUAGAAAAUGUAACAGUGAGAUUGAAUGUCUAUCUGACUGCCCUUCUGUAUUGUCUGUAACAAAGAGCAAACUCGAGGUAUGUGAUCAAAACCAAGUACAUUCAGGGAGCUGUCCAAUGAGGUAAGUUUUUUUGUUUCAUAUUUUGUACAGUUUGAUUUAAAUGCUAUUUCUUUUAACUUUAGGAAAAUUCUGCAAAUAUUACUCAUGAAAUAUUUGAAUUGCCCACUCAACAUCCUAUUAUUACUCAAAUAAAAAGAAGGUACUGCAAAUGCUGGAGACACUGAAAUUUUUAAAAAGUACAAAACACUGGAGUAGGUCACUUCUGUUUAUGCUUUACCAACUGAAGAAAACAUGCCAGACCUUCAUAUUUUCAUUCUCGGAUGGAGUUCAAUUUCUGGGAAUCACGAAAGAUGACUCUCAAAAGCAGAGGAACAGGUCUGGAAAACAACAUCUCCAACAAUCGAGAAGCUCACCAUCUCUUGACGUGCAAUGCCAUUACCAUCACUGAAACCCUUGCCAUCAACAUCCAGAGGCUACUACUCAUCAGAAAUGGAACUGGAUUAGUCAUAUACAUACUGUGGCUAUGACAGCAGGUCUGAUGCUUGAAUUGCGCAGUGAGUUACUUCUACCUCCCCAAUGCUUGUCCACCAAUGACAAGGCAGAAGUCAGCAAUGUGAUGGAAUGUUCUACACUUGCCUGAAUAAGUGCAGCUCCAACAAUACAAGCAGCGUGACAGCAUCCAGGAUAAAGCAAGCCAGUUAACUGGUUGCCCAUCCAUCACCAUCAAUAUUUACUCACUUCAUCACUGACACAUGGCGACAGCAGUGUACACCAUUCACAAGAGGCACUGCAGUAACUCAAGAUGCUUUUGUAUAACAGCUUCCAAACCCAAGACCUCUAUCAUCUUGAAAGAUCAUAGGCAACAGAUAUAAAGGUACAACCUUCCAAACUCCCCUCCAAGUCGCACACCAUGCUGACUUUGAACCUACAUUUCUUAUAAUUUUGUUUUCUCCUCAGAGAUCUGUGCAUGGCAGCGACUUUCAAGAUCAGAAGUCAAUGUUGGGAAUUGCGUCGGUAUGCCAGUUGGUGUGUACGGGUCGUCAGAGCAGUUGCCUGGCUACACUGUUUAGAAACAUCGUGGUUUGGAACUAUAAUGGCAGUUGCUUCACUGUUACUUUGUCAAAGUCCUGCAACUCCCUCCCAGGAGCAUUGUGGGUGUUCCACUCCUCAAGGAAUGUCACAAUUCAAGAUGGCAGCUCACCAUAUCACUGCAGCACAACGAAGGAUGGGUAAUAAAUGCUGGCAUAAUUAACUAUAUCCAAAUCCCAUUUACUGACAAAAAAAAAAUUAACAAAAGCUCUGUAACAUUUCAGUAUGAAAUCAAUAAUUAUCUUAAAAAGGUUCUUAGCUACUAUGUCAAAAGUCACACGAAACCAGGUUAUAGUUCAACAGUUUUAUUUGAAUUCACAAGCUUUCAGAGCACUGUCCCUUAGUCAGCCUGAAAGCUUGUGAUUGCAAAUAAACCUGUUGGACCAUAACCUGGUAUUGAGAGACUUUUGACCUUGUGCAUCCCAGUCCAACACCAGCACCAGCACCUCCACAUCUUAGCUACUAUGAUUGAGAGAGAUAAAAAAAAAAUCAGGGCUGUUUACUCUGGAAAAUUACAGAAUGUGAGGAAAUUUCACCGUGCUUCUCAAUGAAAGUUUUAUUAGAUCCAUUACAGGUAGGUAAAGAACUUGAUAUAAACAUAUGCCAUGCAAUCACAGAAUUGAGAUAUUUAGAGAAAUUCUCACCAUUUCAAUGGAUAGAAUUGCUGACCAGGAAAUAAAAUGCUGGUGUACACAAUGACUGAAUACAUUCAAAAGAGAGCUGAAUGAAUUUGGUGUGAGGCCAAUGUGGCAAUACUAUAGCUUUAAGACCUGUUUUUUGACUUGAUGUUUUUUUAAAAAAGAAAUUAUGAGCCACAGGUGACAAGUAGUCAAAGCCAAUAGAGUAAACAGCUUGACAGGCUUUACAGCAUUUUAAAUCUUAGAUCAGUAGAAGCAGCCUAAAUGGGUGUGGUCAACCUCAUCAAUAUAUUGGUCAUAGAAUCCCUACAAGUGUGGAAACAGGCCACUUGGCCCAACAAGUCCAUACCGACUCUCUGAAGAGCAUC